AUGCGUGUGUGUGUGUGUGUGUGUGUGUGUGUGUGUGUUGGGGGGUGCAUUCUUUUAGACCUGUGCCCCCCCUCCCCCAGCAGCCCCAGCUUCCUCGCAACCUCCAGCACCUGUCCCUCCGGGGCUACACGCCGGGCGCAGCCCUCGCGGAUACACUCAGUGACACACGCUUCCUCCUCCCCGAACACCACCAGCUGCCUCCGAAGCUUGUGUUCGUGUCGGAAAGCGGGCUGGGGUGGGGGCAGGACACGAACCGUCUCACCAAUGAAGCCGGUUCCCAGCCGGCGUCCUCGCCCCCUCCCUGCCGGCGCCUUCGCUGCCCCUCCCCCCCCAAGUCGCCGCCGUCCGGCUCCCCGCCCCGCACUCGCCCCCGCGCCCCCCGAGCCGCUCCCCGCCGGCCCCCGACCUGGGGCUCUCGGCGCGGGCCUCCGGCAGGGGGGGCCCCGACAGCGCGGGGCGGCCGGGGCAGAGCCCGGGGGAGCGGCGGCCCGAGCCCCGGAGGCCGGGACCGCGGGGGGAGGGAGGCCCGGAGGGAAGAGGGAGGGAAGGAGGAGGGCGGGCGAGCCGGAGCCGGAGCCGGAGCCGGAGCCGGAGCCGGAGCCCGAGCCCGAGCCCGAGCCCGAGCCCGAGCCCGAGCCCGAGCCGGCGGGAGCCCGGGCGAGCCGCUCGGGAGCGCGGUCCCCAUGGCAGUGCCGGGCGCGGCCAGAGGUAAGACGACCCCGGCCCGGCCCCGGCCCCGGCCCCGCCCGGCCCCCUCCCCGCCUCCCCCACGCCGCCGCCGCCGCCGCCGCCUCCUCUCCCCUCCGGCCGGCCCCUCCUCCCCAGCCACCUGCUGUCACUGCCCGGGAGCAGAGGGUGGGUGGCGGGAGGGAGGAGCCGCCUGACCUUACCCCUUCACCCCGAAGGGCGAGGGACCCCUGCCCGCGGCAGAGUCCCCCAGAAACCCCCGCCUUCCUCUGUCCUUCACCUCCUCUCUGUCCUUCACAUCCUUCCUGCCUCCCUCCCUCUCUGACUCCCCAUCUCUUUCUUCCCGAGCCCACCCGCUGGGGCUGGGGUGGGGGGGGUAGGUGGGAAGGGGUGCCAGGCUGUAGAGGAGAGUAG
rnacentral:lncRNA from 1 species